rnacentral:rRNA from 1 species
GACGAACGCUGGCGGCGUGCCUAAUACAUGCAAGUUGAGCGCUGAAGGUUGGUACUUGUACCAACUGGAUGAGCAGCGAACGGGUGAGUAACGCGUGGGGAACCUGCCUUUGAGCGGGGGACAACAUUUGGAAACGAAUGCUAAUACCGCAUAAAAACUUUAAACACAAGUUUUAAGUUUGAAAGAUGCAAUUGCAUCACUCAAAGAUGAUCCCGCGUUGUAUUAGCUAGUUGGUGAGGUAAAGGCUCACCAAGGCGAUGAUACAUAGCCGACCUGAGAGGGUGAUCUGCCACAUUGGGACUGAGACACGGCCCAAACUCCUUCGGGAGGCAGCAGUAAGGAAUCUUCGGCAAUGGACGAAAGUCUGACCGAGCAACGCCGCGUGAGUGAAGAAGGUUUUCGGAUCGUAAAACUCUGUUGGUAGAGAAGAACGUUGGGGAGAGUGGAAAGCUCAUCAAGUGACGGUAACUACCCAGAAAGGGACGGCUAACUACGUG